rnacentral:lncRNA from 10 species
GUCCAAACAAAAUUAAUAGUGUUAUUUUUGAGAAAAAAACAAAUUAAAAAUAAUUUCCAUAAAGGUAAUAGUCAUCUUACUGUAUCUAUAAACUCAUUAUGAAAAUUCUGAAAAUGUAAUGGCUUUGAAAUCAGGGGAAGGAGAGGCCCUGCUCAUUUCAAGGUGUUAUUCUCCAACGAGUGACUAACAGGGAAGGUAUGUGACUCUUGGGGCAUCCCUGCAGGUACAGUGAAUGAGCAAAUUCGUAGCAGCAUUAUGACAUCACCAGGGAGCGUGACUUGGGUCAAGAGCUUGGCAGGAGGCUUUGGGAACAGUAGAAUCAACAGCAAUCAAGACUGGCAAGCCAACAUACUGGCCACCAUAAAACUGAAAAGAGAGCUUAUUGUACCUCACGCACAGCAGCAGGUUUAACAGAAAAGUAGACAUGUUUAUAGUCCCAGAUUUACAGCACACCUUAUAAACACCUUAUUACUUAGAAUCCAGUCUGCUGUCCCAGAAACUAAGAAUGUGACUUUGUUAAGCAGUAGGAUUUGUUGACAUAAAUGUCUUGACUAAGUUUGCCAUUGUGGUUAACCAAAACGCAUUUACUCCUGGGAAAGUAAACACAAGCAAACAAAAUGCCUCUUAUACUACAAUACGGUAAGUUUCAAAUUGACCAAACUUAAUGCUAUGACAUAAAUAUGCUUAAUGUUUAUGGAAUUUUUUAGAAACCUUUUGCCAUGUUAGGCUUACCAUCCUGUAUAAGUCUUACUGAAUGGGAAUGUGUUUUCAGAAUUACAUGUACUUAAAGACUUCAUCAGAAAUAUUCAGACAACCUGCCAUGAAUACCAGGGCUGACCACGCAGCAGAUAAAAUGGGUCAUGGUCUCCUCAGACAUUAACGUGGAUAAAUCAGUUCUGCACCAUGUAAUAGCUACACAUCGAAAUGCUUACCAACAAUUAAAAUUAGAGAACUAAUGGAAAAUAAUGUUGAAUAAAUAUUAUAAAACCACAUGAAAAUAUGUUCAAGAACGGCAAAGUACCUGGAUGAAACUCACAAAGUUGAGAAAAUUUCUAGGGAAUAAUGAAAAUUCAGACUGAUUUUCUGAUGCUUAAAACUUCAUCCAUUUAACAGUGGAUACAAUCCCUUGUUUUCGGGUAGAUUUUUGAAAUUACAGACUUACAGGACCAUUGGUGUGUAACCAAAUAAACUCAGCAGCUUUCCUAUCCUUUCAGCCUUCUAGUUAGCCCUCACCAAAUCUCAAAAAUUCUAUAGUAGGAAAGUUCUUUAUGGUCAGAUAUAAAGGUUGCAAAGUCCAAGAUCAAGGGACUGGAAUCUUAUGAGGGCCUUCUGCUAUGAGAGUCACAUGGCAGAAGGGCAAGAGAAGACAAGAGAGAAUGCAAGAGGAGGAAAAACUCAUCCUUUUAUGAUGGCACUAAUUCCACUCAUGAGGGUGUAGCCCUAAUGGCCUCAUCACCUCUUAAAGGACCUACUUCUUACUUCUGUUACACUGACAAAUUGCAACAUGAGUUUUGGAAAGGACAAACAUUCAAACCAUAGAAUUAUGCUCCUGCCCACCCCCACCUAAACUCAUGUCCUCACACACAAAAUACAUUCGUUGCUUCCCAGUA